rnacentral:rRNA from 1 species
GACGUAGGGGGCGAGCGUUGUCCGGAAUUACUGGGCGUAAAGAGCACGUAGGCGGGUAAUUAAGUUAGGUGUGAAAGACCGGGGCUCAACCCCGGGGUUGCACUUAAAACUGGAUAUCUUGAGGGCAGGAGAGGGCAGUGGAAUUCCUGGUGUAGCGGUGAAAUGCGUAGAAAUCAGGAGGAACACCAGUGGCGAAGGCGGCUGCCUGGACUGACCCUGACGCUGAGGUGCGAAAGCGUGGGUAGCAAACAGGAUUAGAUACC